rnacentral:ncRNA from 1 species
ACUCGAUAAUAGUAAAACUGCUGAAAGGCAGCGACACAAAACUAAAGGGUCUAAGGUCUCAAUCGCAGACUAUGAUAGCCAGUUGCCGUA